rfam:Oryza sativa Japonica Group DNA, chromosome 8, cultivar: Nipponbare, complete sequence.
AAUAAGUGCAGUUUUGCACUAUUCACGUUCAACGUUUGACCGUUCGUUUUAUUUGAAAAAUUUUUAUGAUUAGUAUUUUUAUUGCUAUUAGAUGAUAAAACAUGAAUAGUACUUUAUGUGUGACUAAAUAUUUUAAAAUUUUUCAAAUAAGACGGAUGGUCAAACGUUGAGCACGGAUAUUCACGACUGCACUUAUU